rnacentral:rRNA from 1 species
AGAGUUUGAUUCUGGCUCAGGACGAACGCUGGCGGCGUGCUUAACACAUGCAAGUCGAACGAUGAAGCCUAGCUUGCUAGGUGGAUUAGUGGCGAACGGGUGAGUAAUACGUGAGUAACCUACCUUUAACUCUGGGAUAAGCCUGGGAAACUGGGUCUAAUACCGGAUACGACCAAUCUCCGCAUGGGGUGUUGGUGGAAAGCGUUAUGUAGUGGUUAUAGAUGGGCUCACGGCCUAUCAGCUUGUUGGUGAGGUAACGGCUCACCAAGGCGACGACGGGUAGCCGGCCUGAGAGGGUGACCGGCCACACUGGGACUGAGACACGGCCCAGACUCCUACGGGAGGCAGCAGUGGGGAAUAUUGCACAAUGGGCGCAAGCCUGAUGCAGCGACGCCGCGUGAGGGAUGAAGGCCUUCGGGUUGUAAACCUCUUUCGUCAGGGAACAAGGCACUGCUUUUGGUGGUGUUGAGGGUACCUGGAUAAGAAGCGCCGGCUAACUACGUGCCAGCAGCCGCGGUAAUACGUAGGGCGCGAGCGUUGUCCGGAAUUAUUGGGCGUAAAGGGCUUGUAGGCGGUUGGUCGCGUCUGCCGUGAAAUCCUCUGGCUUAACUGGGGGCGUGCGGUGGGUACGGGCUGACUUGAGUGCGGUAGGGGAGACUGGAACUCCUGGUGUAGCGGUGGAAUGCGCAGAUAUCAGGAAGAACACCGGUGGCGAAGGCGGGUCUCUGGGCCGUUACUGACGCUGAGGAGCGAAAGCGUGGGGAGCGAACAGGAUUAGAUACCCUGGUAGUCCACGCUGUAAACGUUGGGCACUAGGUGUGAGGCUCCUUUCCGGGGGUUUUGCGCCGUAGCUAACGCAUUAAGUGCCCCGCCUGGGGAGUACGGCCGCAAGGCUAAAACUCAAAGGAAUUGACGGGGGCCC